UACAGAGGUCUCAAGCGUUGUUCGGAUUCAUUGGGCGUAAAGGGUGCGUAGGCGGCGCGGUAAGUCGGGUGUGAAAUUUCGAGGCUUAACUUCGAAACUGCAUUCGAUACUGCCGUGCUUGAGGACUGGAGAGGAGACUGGAAUUUACGGUGUAGCGGUGAAAUGCGUAGAUAUCGUAAGGAAGACCAGUGGCGAAGGCGGGUCUCUGGACAGUUCCUGACGCUGAGGCACGAAGGCCAGGGGAGCAAUCGGG
rnacentral:rRNA from 1 species